rnacentral:rRNA from 1 species
CCUACGUGGGGCUGCAGUGGGGAAUAUUGCACAAUGGGGGAAACCCUGAUACAGCGCCGCCGCGUGAGCGAUGAAGUAUUUCGGUAUGUAAAGCUCUAUCAGCAGGGAAGAAAAUGACGGUACCUGACUAAGAAGCCCCGGCUAACUACGUGCCAGCAGCCGCGGUAAUACGUAGGGGGCAAGCGUUAUCCGGAUUUACUGGGUGUAAAGGGAGCGUAGACGGCUGUGCAAGCCAGAUGUGAAAGCCCGGGGCACAACCCCGGGACUGCAUUUGGAACUGUGUGGCUGGAGUGUCGGAGAGGCAGGCUGAAUUCCUAGUGUAGCGGUGAAAUGCGUAGAUAUUAGGAGGAACACCAGUGGCGAAGGCGGCCUGCUGGACGAUGACUGACGUUGAGGCUCGAAAGCGUGGGGAGCAAACAGGAUUAGAUACCCCUGUAGUC